rnacentral:tRNA from 1 species
GGUGUGGCGCAGUUGGUAGCGCGCUUGCUUUGGGAGCAAGAUGCCGCAGGUUCAAGUCCUGUCACU